AUAUAUCACAAGUUUACUUAUUCUUUGUAUGUUCCAUUUUUAUUUGACAAUUAAGUUAUAACGUUUAAACCUUGUUAUUGAUGUUAUUUUAGCUGUAUAAUACUCGGCUAGGCUCGACUCAUUUUUUUUUUUUUUUUUUUUUUUUUUUUUAAAUUUACUACUAAUACUGUUUGUUUUUUAAUUUUGAAAUGCAAAAGUUUUUCUCUUCUAUUGUAGGAAAUAAAAAUUUCGAUUAUACAAUAAAUUAUUUGUUGUCCCGAACAUUUGAUAAGAGUAGUAUAAUCAAUAGCAGUAGUAAUAAUUUUAUUUGUUUGUUCCCCAAAUGUUUUGGAACGUACGGUGCAGUAACUAAGAAAAGGCAAGAACGAAGAGAGAAGUUAUAUGAGGAAAAAUAUAAACAUAAUCCUAAUAAUAUUCCUAAAUAUUCAAAAGUUAAAAGAGGGAGUAGAGGGGGGUGGAUACAUAAUCCAUUAAAAGAAUUAACAAAAAAUAAUGGAACUAAUUUUAUGUAUGAACAGAAGAUUAAUGAAGAAAUUGGUGAAAAAGAAAAAGCAUGUAUAAAUACUCUUAUAAAUUUUAGGAAAAAAAUUAUGAGUAGCACCCAGAAUACUGAUACUAUUAUAGAUAUUAACAAACCUGGUAAUAAUAAUAGUGUGGAUACCACUGUAGAUCAUUUUGACUAUAACAGUACCGAUGCAUACGAUAUAGCUAAUUCUAAUGAUGACUACAACUUAGGUCUAAAAGAACUGCCUAAUGCAAAUUUGUUUGCUGUAUGUGAAAAUUUUAUUGAUAGUAAACAGCAGAUUAUUCAAAAAAUAGAGAACCCAGAUAAUUUUGUUAACACGCAUAUAAAAUCUUUAGUCAAUAAUUACACGAACAUAAACCAUUUGCAUGAAGAUAUGAAUGUUUAUAAAUAUGCAAAGGUACCAGAUUAUUUGAAAAAGGACAAAGGCGAUAACAAAGUAACAAACAAACAUACGUCUUACUCUUAUGAUUUGAAUAAACAAAAUGGCAGUAUUAAACAUGAAAUAGAAAAUAAUAAGCAUGAUAUGAUAACAGAUAUAAAUACACACAGAGCUAAGCAAAAUGAUAUUAAAAAUAAAGCUAUAUGUAACUCUGAAAAAAUAAAAAAUAUAACUAAAUUUAUAGAUAAAAAAAAAAAUAGCAAUAAGUUUGAUUAUAAUUUCAAUAGAAUUAAUAAUAAUACAUUACAUGAAAAGAGUACAAAGGGGGGUAAUGAUUUUAUGUACAUUUCGGAUGGUGGUGAACAAUUAGAAAUAGAUUUAAUGAACGACUAUAAUAAUGUUGAUGAUAAGUGUAGCAAUAAAAAUACACAGAGCGUUAACAAAAACAUGGAGGAGGAGCGAGAGAAUUCAAAUGGUGGUACUGAUUAUGAUACAUUAAAAAAUAUUUAUAUAGAAAAUAUUUUAAAUUAUACUGAUGAUGAAACCAACUUGGAUAUUACCUGUUUAGACGUGUUUACUGCUUUAAAUACGAUAGAUAGAAAUAAAAAAUUAAGUCUUUUUUUUAAAACAAUAAAAGAUACGUCGUUUAUUUUUUAUAACAAUUGUAUUAUUCCUUCUAAAUUUGGUAAAGGUACAUUAAACGAAUAUUUGCACACAAGAAGUAAAUGUAGUUUGUUUGAUAAAUCAUAUCAACAAGUAAUAAAAUUUUAUGGUAGUGAUUGUUUUUAUAUAUGUAACCAGUUUAUCUCAUGCAAUUUAUAUGAAAUGUUUAAUUUUGAUGUGAGUUAUGCA
ensembl:lncRNA